rnacentral:rRNA from 1 species
UACGAAGGGGGCUAGCGUUGCUCGGAAUUACUGGGCGUAAAGGGCGCGUAGGCGGCUAUCUAAGUCGGGGGUGAAAGCCCAGGGCUCAACCCUGGAAUUGCCUUCGAUACUGGAUAUCUUGAGUACGGGAGAGGUGAGUGGAACUCCGAGUGUAGAGGUGAAAUUCGUAGAUAUUCGGAAGAACACCAGUGGCGAAGGCGACUCACUGGCCCGUUACUGACGCUGAGGCGCGAAAGCGUGGGGAGCAAACAGG